AUAUCCUGAGCCCUAUAUAAAUCAUACAUACACAAAAUAAAGUUAGACUUGGACUUGGACUUGGACACCGAACUCCUUGUCUCACUGCCUCCUCCUUCACCAACGCUGUCCAUCCCUCAGGAGACCCUGUUCCGUCUGGGGCUGGACCCCAGCAGGGGGGAAGAAGAGAAUAUCCGUCAAAUGCAGAUGGAGGUUGAAGUUGUAUUCACAUGCUCUAAAUGUCAGCCUGCAUCUUUAGACUUAGAGGAAGGAAGAAAAGACAAAACAUGACGUGCUGAAUCUUGCUGUUAUAACAAACGUGAGCAUCCAGCUUCUGGUAGCAUACCUUCAUCCUGCUCUUGGCCUCACUGAUGGAGGAGCAGCCAAGAUAGGGACUCUGCAUAGAGAGGAAGUUACUGAAGCAAUUCACCAAUCAGAGCGUCUGAUUAGUGCUAUAAUUUCAAAUGUAAACAAUAACAAACAGCUCUCUAGAUUUCAGAUGAGAACUGGACUCUUCAAAGACGGCUUCUAUCUGUGGCUAUAAUAAGUGAAUCGGACACUCUUGGAUUGCAGUCAAUUUUAUAUCCUAAGUAUAUUUUUCAUCUCUCAGUGUGCAUUCAUGUUUUACCAAAAGAAAGUGAAGAUCUACCCAUAGCAGUCUUUUAGGAAGGUCAGAGGAAACUGACAAAGCAAGAGCAAAAUUGCAAAAUUGACAUUGAGGAACAAGUGAUGGUGUUAAGCAGCCUUAUCAUUAUUAAAUGAAAUAAAAAGUCAUUAAAUGCAUAUGAACCCAAAGCAAAAUUGAUCAGAAGAGUUAAUCACCCUCAUCAACUCACAUUUGUGGAGGUGCCUCUGGGUGCAAGUUAUCACCGCUCUUGAACACUGGCUGUUCAUCUCUUCAAGGGCAGGAGGCUCAGAGCUGGGAGCAGCCUAGUCCUUGUUGGAGGCCGAGGAGGAGGAGAGAGAAGAGGGUCCUUGGCCACAUGGAUUCCCUUUAUGUUGCUCAAGUUAAAUAUUUUUACACAGCCAUGAAAAUUUCCUUAAGAAUUUUGCUGAGGAAAUAAUGGUGCCAGAGUCAAGGGCUUCCCCUUUGGUGUAAGUGCCAACACUGAAAGGAAAGGGGUUUUUUCUCCCCAAGAAAAUGAAAAAGUUCUGUGUUGGAUUUGAAACUGAAGUCUCAGUGCUGGGAGCCAGCCCUGGGCAAACAGGCGGCUGGAGAGUAAGUCACCUCCCUCCUCUUCUCCUCACAGAGCUGUAUGCCCAUUACCUGAGGGGACGGAAUCCAAGCAUGGGUCAACAAUAAGGCAACAGAGCUCCCCUGAGACCAGGCUUUCAGCUGAGAGAGGAGACAAAAGAAAGAUGUCCUCUUGGAGGAAGGCAGUGAGGAGUGUCAUAGGUCACUUUCUGGGAUGCGCAGGAUCAGAUAACAGACACUCAGCUGGAAGAUGAUGAGGACUGGGGAUUCCAAAGGUGGUUGGGGGUCAAGUUCGUUCAUAAUCUCCACGCACGCCCUGCCCAAGUCACCUCAUACACAAAUAAGCCAAGCAAAAAGACUGCUUCCCAAGCAAACGCAGCUUCAGCUCCCCGGAACAGUCAUGCCAGUGCACUCUCCUUACAACAGAAGUCCUGCUCAGCCUGUGGUGUUAUAGCUCCCAGCCAGGUGCCCUCUGAACCACCCCCGUAUAGGAGUUCUGGAGCCACCACUGGAGGGUGAUUAUGAUUUGAACUCAUUGAUUCUACGAGGAACAUGAGGAAAAGGGCAAAACCACUUACUGGCAUUGGCUCUAACAGCGUCUUGAAUUAUACGGGCGCUGGCUUACAAUGAUUUGGUGCCAGGUCCUGGGGAGAGCGGGCUGCAUAGGAAGCCGGUCCCCAGGCUUGAGGAGCCCUCUCGGAGUCUAAGCGGGUCACACAGGCACAUAGUCAAGAACAAAACCCAAUCAAAUUGGGCUGUGAGGGGGCCCCCAGCCUGGUGCUGUGGAAGUCAGAGGCGGCUGUUACUAAUUUUGAUUGGGGCGUGGGUCAGGAAGGAAAGCGAAGAUAAGGAGCAAUCAGGAUUUCAACAUUGAUUUUGACCCCUAACAGUGGGCUCAGACCACCCCCCGCCCCUCCGGGGGAGGUGUUCUUACUUCAGGCACAUGGUCGUUGCUGAAGAAACAUUUGUGAGCAUUUGGAUGGAUGAAUAAAUGAACAUCUCCAUGAAGAAACUGGGACUCAGAGAAGAAAUAACUUGCCUGAGAUCACACAGUUCAUAAAUAGCAAAGCUAAAAUUCGGACCUACGAAGCUUAUUCUUUUUCUCUCGCAACACAGUAUUUGCUGGGUGAUGGUGCGGAAAGAGCCAGAAACCACAGACAGCCAUGAGGAGAACAUGAUAGGAGCCAACCAAGACCGGGAUUUCAGGAGAGAAGGAAUAAGCCCUUGCUCAUAGAUGUCUGUUUCUUUUUUAUAUUGGCAAGUUCACAUCAGCCAGGGAGCACAUGGCUAACUUGUAAUAAUAUUCGUCUUUAAGAAAACAAAACCGAAAAAACUAUGGUACUCUAUCUUCACUCUCUGAUAUCUAACCGGUAGCUCUGGUGCUAGAGUCUGAAUUAGCCCUGCGAAAAUAUUCUCUUUUCAGCCCACCUUGUUUGGAUAUUUGAUUCAGAAACAAUUAAUGAAGUCCAUUUGCCAUAUGGGUAAGUGAACUCAUUUUAAGUAGGUGUUCUGCAUCCCUGCGGCUCCAGGAGCUGUUGUCAUAGUAACGUUUCCCCCCUUGACUUGCAGAAGGCACAGUCCAUGGAACCAGUGGCAAUGUAGGUCAGGAGUGAAAAGGGGUUUGGUGGCUUCGCCUCAGUGCCCAGUUUGGCACAGCCAGGGAUUGUUAAUGCUGGGGGCUCCAGAGGGGCUCGCCCUCCUCAGGAUGUUCUCUGCUAGGACUGAGUCAGAAGAGGAGAUGCAGAGGAGGGGGGCCAACAGGAGGCACGGAAACGGCAAGGAGAGGCUGGCAGGAGCUGCACGCCUGCAUGGAGAUUCAGAACCCCUGAGAGCCCAGGAUGACCUGGGACAGGUCACUGGCUGAGGGCGGAGGAUGUGGAGCGUUGGGGGCUUACUAUCCCUGCUGCCUGGUGGGAAUUGCGCCCCCUGCAGUCCAGACCCAUUCAGAGUUGGUUUAAGAAGGCCCACGUCAAUCAUCAAUAUAACAGUUUUAGCUGCAGGAGAGGUCAGCUUUACAUUCAGCCUGGAAAUGUGUUUAAGAAGCUUUUGUUUACUCAUCCAUUCAUGUAGCAAACAUUUACUGGCCCGUUUUCUGCACCAGGUACCGUGCUGGCCAGUGCUGGCUUCAUGGGUGCGCCGCCCUUGCCCUUGCACAGGACCCCAUGCUCGGAAGGACUUUGAGCUUGGUUUAAUGCUCUGUUGCCGUCUUGAAAUUCUUAAUCAUUUUUGAACCAGGGCCCCACGUUUUCAUUUUGUACUGGGCUCCGCACUGGGGGUACAGUGUUCAGCCAAGCCAGACACACUCUCUGCCUUCCUGAAACUUGUGGCACAGCAGGAGAGACAGACACAAUCAUGACACAAAUCAAUGUGGAAUUACAACUGGGAGCCGUGCCAUGAGGGACGGGUCUGUAAUGUCUUGCGAGAAGAGCCUUGUACAGCUGUAUGGCUUCACCUCACUGUAUUCAGAAUAGUGGAGAUGGAUCAAAUUACGGCAGAGAGGGUUCAAGUUAGUGUUGCUGAACUAAGUGGUUGGGAGCGCAAGGCAGGCUUCCGAGAGAAGAGGGCAAGUUUCCCCCUCAAGGUUGUAAAGAUCAGGAGGAUACCCACCUGUCAGGGCAGGUGCUUUGGGGGCAAACUUUUAUCUUUCUCUCUCUUCUAAAGGGUUUUUUCUUUUGACUUUGGUGUAAUUUCAGACCUACAGAAAAGUUGAAAGAAUAAUACAAAGUAGUCCCAUAUACCCUUCAUCCAGAGUCCUCAGAUGUUACAGUUUACCAUUUUAUCCUAUCUAUCUAUUUAUUCAUCUAUCCAUCCACCCACCUAUUGCAAAAAGAAAUUCUGGGAGCUUUUCUAGACAUGAAUAUUUUAUUGAGCAAGAAACAAAACGAUUGUGAACAGGGAGACUUCAGACCCGACAGUGAUAUGAAGCUCACAGGCAUGACAUAGCAGGAUAGCUUAUAAAGGGGAAAUGCAGAAGUUGUUAAACCUUUACUGUGAUGGGUUAUUACAAUGAGGUUUUUCACAUGGCAUGGGAUUGGUUGAAACCUAUUAUCUUACAUCAUUUUAGGAAGAUGAUUUAAGUUUUAUUUAUGAUUAUCAGAGGCAUUUAUAAGAAAUAACCUAAGUUUUGCUUACAUUCAUGAGAUAACCUAGAAUAAGCUUUGGUUAUGUGGCUUAACUGGUUUUGUCUGCUAGGGUGAUCUUCAGGCCUGGUCUUCACUUUAUUUUAUUUUAACACCAUCCAUCCAUUCGUCCAUCCAUCCAUCCAUCCCUCCAUCCAUUCAUCCAAUCUAUCUACUGUUUAAUCUUAAAUGUAGACAUAAUAUAAUGCCCUCUUACUGCUAAAUACUAAAAAGCCUAUUUCCUAAAAACAAGAUCAUUUUCUUACAUAACCCUAGUAGAGUUAUUAAAAUCAGGAAGUUAACAUUUAUACAAUAUUAUUGUCUAUGUACAAAUCUUAUUCAGAUUUUGCCCAUUAUCCCCGUAAUGUUCUUUAUAACAAAAGGAAGUUCUGUAUCACACGUUGCAUUCAUGUGCCUUAUCUAUUCAGUCUCCUAUAAUCUGGCAUAAUUCCUAGUCUUUCUUCAUUUUCCCUGACAUUGAUAUUUUUGAGGAAUGCAGGUCAGUUAUAUAUUUUAAAAAUCAGGUAUAUUGAGGCAUAAUCUUCAUAGGGUAGAAUUCACCCUUUUUAGAUGUACAUUUCUCAGGCCGGUUAUCUCAUAGGAUAGCCUUUACUUUGGAUCUGUCUGAUGUUUUCCGUGAUUAGAUUCAGACUGUGAUUCUCUAGCAGAAAUACUGCAGCAGGAGUGUUGCAUUUUUCUCGGUGCAUCACAUCAGGAAGCACGUGGCACUGAUCCCUCCAUUACCGUUGAUGCUGUUGGAGGCUGUGUAAAUACUCUGUUACUCCUCAAACUUUCACCCACCAGUGUUUUCAUCCGUGGAUGAUUCUUGCCUGAAACUUAUUAAUAUGGUGGCUGCUAAGCAGUGAUUUUCUAAUUCCAUCAUUCCUUUUAUAUUUGCUUAUUGUCUUUCGACUGUCAGGACGACAACUUCUUCCCCAACUAAUUAAUAAAUUGUGUGUAGGCUUAUUUAUUCUUAUUUUAUUCAAUGGGUUAUACUCUUUGACUAUCAUUCUUUAUUAUGAUGCUCAAAUUGUUCCAGAUUUGGCCCCUUCAAAGUGGGCCGUAUUUUGUCACAUCCCCCAUCCUUCUUUGAGCACUUCCAUACUCUCUAGCACCACAAAAUGUUCCAAGUUCAUCUUGUACUUUCUGUGCCCCAGCUCUGGAGUCCACCAUUUCUCCAAAGAAGGGUGAAAUUUUCUGAAGGUGCACAUGUUGCCUGAAGUCCUUUCAAUCUUGACAUUCUUUCCAAUUCAUGCGGUAGAACCAUAAAGCGGAGACCUUAGGUUAAACUUUUAUUCAGAAUCCUUAUCUGGCUCUUUUUCCUCCUUGAUUGAAUUUGAAGCAACUUACAAAAAAAUUCAUACAAUAAAAUUUAUGAAAUAAGGAUUUUCAGAGGGGAAAAAAAUGGUGACUAAGAGGAGGAAAACAGAUAUGCCAGCCACCAAAGUAGCUAGGCUUGCCCAGAAAAACUUGGCAUUCAACACUCUGGCAGCCAAAUUAAAGAAGGAGCUGCACGGGCAGCAGACGCCCGGGGCUUGCGGAACACUUCCAGGGACUCUGACCUGCUGGCCCAGCAGGCGCUGCAGCGAGGGGCUGGGCUCCUGUUGCACUGUGGGAAUAAAGAGCCUUUCCGGAUGGUAUUCUGACCUGGCAGACACAGAGAGAGCUGCAGAGAGGAAGCAGCAGCACCAGGAUUUUUUUUUUCUUGAAAGCACUUUGGAGUAUGUCUUGGCUCUUGGACCAGCACUCAGUGAGACCCCACAUUUAGAAGAGAAUUGGUACUUACAGGCCCCACAGUCACUCCUUCGCUGUCUCUCUCAGUGAUGUUCUAUUGAUUAUAUACUAGGAGCCAUGCAGCGAUCAGACCCAGAGGAGGCACAGAGAUCCAGACCCUGACCACCGGGUCCAGUAGCCGAGGAGCCAUGACCAUGAAUGAUGGUGCUCCAGAUUCAACGCUGACUGUGCUCUGAGAGGUGCUGCGGGAAUUGAGAGGCAACUGUGAGGCAUCUCUUCUAGCUGGAGGAGUGUUUCUGGAAAGAGCUGUUGUGGUGUUAAAACAUGGAACUUGAGAUCUGGAAAAGGGCCUGGAAGGGAAUCCUGGCCAGCGACCCCAUUAGAUGCUUGAAUCUCUUCUACCGUUGGACCUUGUGGGUGAACUGUCACUUGAUAGAAGCAAACGUGCAAAUGACGGAAGUUGUCCAUAUGUGAAUAGGCGUUCCAUAGUUCCUUCACUUACGAAUUCAUUUAUUCAACGACUAUUUAUUGAGACCCUAUUAUGCUCUUGGCACUGUGAUAGAUGCUGGAUGUACAAGAGUGAGAAAAACACACUCAAUUUCUGCCCUCAUAGUGCUUUAGAUCUAAUAGAAAAGACAGACGUUAAUCAGAUUUAUCAAAAAGUAUAUGUAUUAUUAAAAAUUGCUCUAAGUGCUAUCGUGAAGGUUACCCAGGACUUCCAGAUUAGGGUUGGCUGCCUCAAGGAAGUGACAGUCAAGUUGGGUCACUAGAUGGGGCAGGACAGGAACAUUCCAGCCAGAGGGAACAGUGUGUGAAGACGUGGAGGGGUCAGAGAACAUCUGAAGAGAGCUACAGGCCCUUGUGGCUAGAGGGCAGAGAGCAGUGGGAAUGUGGGUGACACAUGAUGAGGGAUCAGAGGGUGCAGGUCCAUGGCAGGGGGUCUUCCCGAGGAAGGGAGGAGAGAGAGGCAUGGAGGCGGGGGAGAGCUGAGUUGAUCGGAUCACAAAGCAGGGGGAAGAGAUGUGAGCGUAGAGCAAUAAUUCUAAGAAAUUAGGGAGGUGGGAAGUGAGCUGGGGACAAAGUUAUGAAAUAAUAGGAAUGCUGGUAAUAGGGACGCCAUUUGAGGUGGAAACAAGGCUCUGGGACCUUAGUGACAGAAAACAGGAUACAGGGAAGGCAGGGCCAGUACCUAUUAACACAGAGCUGAAAAUAACCUAGGACUUAACAGUCUAUCCUAUAAUAACCAUUUCUAAUUAUCUAUCCUAUAGAAAUGCUCUCUCUUGCACGAGGAGAUAUAUCCAAGGAUGCUCACUGUAGGCACAAAAGAAGUGGAAACAAUAAAAAUGCCCAUCACUAUGGAGUGGGUAAAUAACCUGUGGUACAGCUUUACCAUGCUGCCCAGUGCAGCAAUGGAAAAAUAGAUCUCUGUGUGCUACAUGGAGGCUCUCCAAGACAUAUGGCUGGCAGAAAGCAUGAGGCAGGACAAUCCAUCAGGAUGAUGUCAUUGCCAUAAGUGGAAAAAGCAGUCCCCCCAAAAUGCUGUCCCCUAUCCCUUGUGAGUACAUAUAUAGUACUUAAGUGCCCAGAAAAAUGUGUGGAAGGCUUCAGAGCAAACUGAAAACAGUGGUCACCUGAGGAGAGGGGCGGGUCUGAGGAUUAGCCAGGGGCAAGGGGGAUUUCUGCUUUAUCUGUAAUGUCUUCAUUUUACUAUGGAAAAUUUGAAGCAUAUACAAAAAUAGGACACUGUAGUAACCACCCAAGUACCUGUCACUCACCUAUUCCCUCCUCCUGAGUUAUUUUUAAGCACAUCCCAGACACUGUAUUCCAUUCAUAAAUAUUUCAGUAAGUAUCUCUAACAGAUAAAGACCGUUUAAUAAAAACAUAACCAUAAUACUAUGAUUACACAUAAAAGUAUUAAUAAUAAUACAACAGAACUGUCAAACACCCAAUCAGUGUUCACAUUUCCUUGUCUUGUGAUGACAAUUUGUUUGUUCAAAUCUGGACCCAAAUAAGUUCCAUCCGUUGCAAUUGGUCGAUAUGUCUCUUAGACUUUUUGUGUGUUUUUGCCAGUAUAUCUCCGGGAUAGAUUCCUAGAAGUGACUUUGUUGGGUCAAAGGAUAAGGGCAUGUGUAUUUUUGCUAGAUGUCCUCAAUUGCCCCUCCACAGCCUUGUGGCAGUUUGCGUCCCCCUGGCGAUGGUGAGAAUGUCCACUUCCCCACAGCCUCACCAGCUUCGGGUGUAUUGUUAGGCUUCGGGAGUUUUGCCAAUCUGAUAGAUGAGACGUGGUAUCUCGCUGUAAUUUUCAUUUCUUUGAAUUAG